rnacentral:tRNA from 1 species
UGGCUCAGUGGUUAAGAGCACUGGUUGCUCUUUCAGAGACCUGGGUUCAACUCCCAG